rnacentral:rRNA from 1 species
AACGAACGCUAUCGGUAUGCUUAACACAUGCAAGUCGGACGGACUAAUUAGGGCUUGCUCCAAUUAGUUAGUGGCAGACGGGUGAGUAACACGUGGGAAUCUGCCCAUCAGUACGGAAUAACUUUUAGAAAUGAAAGCUAAUACCGUAUAUUCUCUACAGAGGAAAGAUUUAUCGCUGAUGGAUGAGCCCGCGUCAGAUUAGGUAGUUGGUGAGGUAACGGCUCACCAAGCCGACGAUCUGUAGCUGGUCUGAGAGGAUGAUCAGCCACACAGGGACUGAGACACGGCCCAGACUCCUACGGGAGGCAGCAGUGGGGAAUAUUGGACAAUGGGCGAAAGCCUGAUCCAGCAAUACCGAGUGAGUGAUGAAGGCCCUAGAGUUGUAAAGCUCUUUUAGCAAGGAAGAUAAUGACGUUACUUGCAGAAAAAGCCCCGGCUAACUCCGUGCCAGCAGCCGCGGCAAGACGGAGGGGGCUAGCGUUGUUCGUAAUUACUGGGCGUAAAGAGUGCGUAGGCGGUUUAGUAAGUUGGAAGUGAAAGCCCGGGGCUUAACCUCGGAAUUGCUUUCAAAACUACUAAUCUAGAGUGUAGUAGGGGAUGAUGGAAUUCCUAGUGUAGAGGUGAAAUUCUUAGAUAUUAGGGGGAACACCGGUGGCGAAGGCGGUCAUCUGGGCUACAACUGACGCUGAUGCACGAAAGCGUGGGGAGCAAACAGGAUUAGAUACCCUGGUAGUCCACGCCGUAAACGAUGAGUGCUAGAUAUCGGAAGGAUUCUCUUUCGGUUUCGCAGCUAACGCAUUAAGCACUCCGCCUGGGGAGUACGGUCGCAAGAUUAAAACUCAAAGGAAUUGACGGGGGCUCGCACAAGCGGUGGAGCAUGCGGUUUAAUUCGAUGUUACGCGAAAAACCUUACCAACCCUUGACAUGGUGGUCGCGGAUCACAGAGAUGCUUUCCUUCAGCUCGGCUGGACCACACACAGGUGUUGCAUGGCUGUCGUCAGCUCGUGUCUUGAGAUGUUGGGUUAAGUCCCGCAACGAGCGCAACCCUCAUUCUUAUUUGCCAGCGGGUAAUGCCGGGAACUAUAAGAAAACUGCCGGUGAUAAGCCGGAGGAAGGUGGGGACGACUUCAAGUCAUCAUGGCCCUUACGGGUUGGGCUACACGCGUGCUACAAUGGUGUUUACAGAAGGAAGCAAGACGGCGACGUGGAGCAAAUCCCUAAAAGACAUCUCAGUUCGGAUUGUUCUCUGCAACUCGAGGAGCAUGAAGUUGGAAUCGCUAGUAAUCGCGGAUCAGCAUGCCGCGGUGGAAUACGUUCUCGG